rnacentral:rRNA from 1 species
AUUGAACGCUGGCGGCAGGCCUACCACAUGCAAGUCGAACGAGUGGCGGACGGGUGAGUAAUGUCUGGGAAACUGCCUGAUGGAGGGGGAUAAAUACUGGAAACGGUAGAUACUACCGCAUACCAUCAGAUGUGCCAAGAUGGGAUUAGCUUGUUGGUGGGGUAACGGCUCACCCAGGCGACGAUCCCUAGCUGGUCUGAGAGGAGGACCAUCCACACUGGAACUGAGACACGGUCCAGCCUCCUACGGUAGGCAGCAGUGGGGAAUAUUGCACAAUGGGCGCAAGCCUGAUGCAGCCAUGCCGCGUGUAUGAAGAAGGCCUUCGGGUUGUAAAGUACUUUCAGCGGGGAGGCGUGACCCGCAGAAGAAGCACCGGCUAACUCCGUGCCAGCAGCCGCGGUAAUAC